rnacentral:rRNA from 1 species
GAUGGCCUCUACUUGUAAGCUAUCGCUGAGGGAUGGGCCUGCGGGCCAUUAGCUUGUUGGUGAGGUAACGGCUCACCAAGGCUGUGAUGGCUAGCUGGUCUGAGAGGAUGACCAGCCACACUGGGACUGAGACACGGCCCAGACUCCUACGGGAGGCAGCAGUGGGGAAUAUUGCGCAAUGGGCGAAAGCCUGACGCAGCGACGCCGCGUGGGUGAUGAAGGCCUUCGGGUCGUAAAGCCCUGUCGCAGGGGAAGAAUAAGCAUCGGUAUAAUACGCCGGUGCCCUGACGGUACCCUGCAAGAAAGCACCGGCUAACUCCGUG